UACGGAAAGGCAGCAGUGGGGAAUAUUGCACAAUGGGCGAAAGCCUGAUGCAGCUAUGCCGCGUGUAUGAAGAAGGCCUUAGGGUUGUAAAGUACUUUCAUCGGGGAGGAAAAAACAAAACUAAUAAUUUUAUUUCUUGACGUUACCCGAAAAAGAAGCACCGGCUAACUCCGUGCCAGCAGCCGCGGUAAUACGGAGGGUGCUAGCGUUAAUCAGAAUUACUGGGCGUAAAGAGCACGUAGGUGGUUUUUUUAAGUCAGAUGUGAAAUCCCUGGGCUUAACCUAGGAACUGCAUUUUGAAACUGAAAUACUAGAGUAUCGUAGAGGGAGGUAGAAUUCUAGGUGUAGCGGUGAAAUGCGUAGAUAUCUGGAGGAAUACCUGUGGCGAAAGCGGCCUCCUAAACGAAUACUGACACUGAGGUGCGAAAGCGUGGGGAGCAAACAGGGAUUAGAUACC
rnacentral:rRNA from 1 species